rnacentral:lncRNA from 1 species
AUGUUCCAGAAGUAUUCUCUCCUGACGUUUCGCCCACAAAAGACAUACAACAACCCUGUGAUCCCGGCUAUGAAAGCCUUCAACAACACAAACCGAACAUCCACUGGAGCAAGAGUCAUUGUUUCCAAGACCCUGAACUAUCCUCUAGGCCUGGAAAGUCCCUUGCCAAAGAUCUCAGAUUUUCUAGCUCAGGUCAUCUUCUCUGAAACUUGGGUGGAGAAGGAACAAGGAAGACUAGCACCAUGUAAGAUAACACUCAAAGUAAAGUUGGAGGAAGAAGAGGAAAUCUGGCUCAUGAUGACAUCAGCCUUUGAUUGUUGUGAUGAUGACACCAUUCAUAGGAAUCAUUUGAACCUGUCGAUCUCUACAAUCCAAAAAUUGAAGAUGAGUAUGGAGGAUUGUAAGGCUGGUCAGCUAGCGUACAAUUUCCUGCUGUCACCCAGCUUUUUUAUUGACUGAUUUGUUGAUCGCAGAAUCAUUACUGUUAGGCUCAAUACUGAUAAAAGUAUCAGUGUUGCCAUCUAUGCUGUCAAAUAUUUAGUAGGUUUUGUCUCUUCUAUUGAUAAGUGUUGGCCAG